GAUGAACGCUGGCGGCGUGCUUAACACAUGCAAGUCGAACGGUGAAGGCCCAGCUUGCUGGGUGGAUCAGUGGCGAACGGGUGAGUAACACGUGAGCAAUCUGCCCCUGACUCUGGGAUAAGCGCUGGAAACGGCGUCUAAUACUGGAUAUGAACCGUGGAGGCAUCUUCAACGGUUGGAAAGAUUUUUUGGUCAGGGAUGAGCUCGCGGCCUAUCAGCUUGUUGGUGAGGUAAUGGCUCACCAAGGCGUCGACGGGUAGCCGGCCUGAGAGGGUGACCGGCCACACUGGGACUGAGACACGGCCCAGACUCCUACGGGAGGCAGCAGUGGGGAAUAUUGCAACAAUGGGGGCAAGCCUGAUGCAGCAAACNCGGCGUUGAGGGAUGACGGCCUUCGGGGUGUAAAACUUUUUUAGCAGGGGAAGAAGCGAAAGUGACGGUAACUGCAGAAAAAGCGCCGGGCUAAAUAACGUGCCAGCAGCCGCGGUAAUAACGUAGGGCGCAAGCGUUAUCCGGAAUUAUUGGGCGUAAAGAGCUCGUAGGCGGUUUGUCGCGUCUGCUGUGAAAUCCCGAGGCUCAACUUCGGGUCUGCAGUGGGUACGGGCAGACUAGAGUGCGGUAGGGGAGAUUGGAAUUCCUGGUGUAGCGGUGGAAUGCGCAGAUAUCAGGAGGAACACCGAUGGCGAAGGCAGAUCUCUGGGCCGUAACUGACGCUGAGGAGCGAAAGGGUGGGGAGCAAACAGGCUUAGAUACCCUGGUAGUCCACCCCGUAAACGUUGGGAACUAGUUGUGGGGUCCAUUCCACGGAUUCCGUGACGCAGCUAACGCAUUAAUUUCCCCGCCUGGGGAGUACGGCCGCAAGGUAAAACUCAAAGGAAUUGACGGCGGUGUGUAAAAACGGCGAUGCACGCGGAUUAAGUCGAGGCAACGCGAAGAAACUUACCAAGGAUUGACAUAUACGAGAACGCUGCAGAAAUGUAAAACUCUAUGGACACUCGUAAACAGGUGGUGCAUGGUUGUCGUCAGCUCGUGUCGUGAGAUGUUGGGUUAAGUCCCGCAACGAGCGCAACCCUCGUUCUAUGUUGCCAGCACGUAAUGGUGGGAACUCAUGGGAUACUGCCGGGGUCAACUCGGAGGAAGGUGGGGAUGACGUCAAAUCAUCAUGCCCCUUAUGUCUUGGGCUUCACGCAUGCUACAAUGGCCGGUACAAAGGGCUGCAAUACCGUAAGGUGGAGCGAAUCCCAAAAAGCCGGUCCCAGUUCGGAUUGAGGUCUGCAACUCGACCUCAUGAAUUCGGAGUCGCUAGUAAUCCCAGAUCAGCAACGCUGCGGUAAAUACUUUCCCNGGUCUUGUACACACCCCCCGUCAAUUCAUGAAAGUCGGUAACACCUGAAGCCGGUGGCCCAACCCUUGUGGAGGGAGCCGUCGAAGGUGGGAU
rnacentral:rRNA from 1 species